rnacentral:rRNA from 1 species
AUGAGGGAAAUCCUGCACAUCCAGGGCGGGCAAUGCGGCAACCAGAUCGGUGCCAAGUUCUGGGAGGUGGUGUGUGAUGAGCAUGGCAUUGACCCAACUGGGCGCUACACCGGUACCUCUGACCUGCAGUUGGAGCGUGUCAAUGUCUACUACAACGAGGCCUCCUGUGGUCGCUUUGUGCCCCGGGCUGUUCUUAUGGACCUUGAGCCUGGUACCAUGGACAGUGUCCGCACUGGCCCUUAUGGGCAGAUCUUCCGCCCUGACAACUUCGUCUUUGGGCAAUCUGGUGCCGGUAACAACUGGGCCAAGGGCCACUACACCGAGGGUGCUGAGCUUAUCGAUUCUGUUUUGGAUGUUGUGAGGAAGGAGGCUGAGAACUGUGACUGUCUGCAAGGAUUCCAAGUAUGCCACUCUCUUGGUGGUGGUACCGGAUCUGGCAUGGGUACCCUCUUGAUAUCUAAAAUCAGGGAGGAGUACCCUGACCGCAUGAUGCUGACGUUCUCAGUGUUCCCCUCACCAAAAGUAUCUGAUACUGUGGUUGAGCCAUACAAUGCAACUCUCUCAGUCCAUCAGUUGGUUGAGAAUGCUGAUGAGUGCAUGGUUCUUGACAACGAGGCUCUCUAUGACAUCUGUUUCAGGACUCUUAAGCUGACCACACCUAGCUUUGGGGACUUGAACCAUCUAAUCUCUGCUACCAUGAGUGGAGUCACCUGCUGCCUAAGGUUCCCUGGUCAGCUGAAUUCCGACCUCCGGAAGCUGGCAGUGAACCUUAUCCCGUUCCCUCGCCUCCACUUCUUCAUGGUGGGCUUCGCUCCAUUGACAUCCCGUGGGUCUCAGCAGUACCGUGCCCUCACGGUCCCAGAGCUCACACAGCAAAUGUGGGAUGCCAAGAACAUGAUGUGCGCCGCUGAUCCUCGCCAUGGCCGUUACCUCACCGCCUCUGCCAUGUUCCGUGGAAAGAUGAGCACAAAGGAGGUGGACGAGCAGAUGAUCAACGUCCAGAACAAGAACUCGUCCUACUUUGUUGAGUGGAUCCCCAACAACGUGAAGUCCAGUGUCUGUGACAUCCCGCCGACGGGGCUCUCCAUGGCGUCCACCUUUGUUGGCAACUCGACCUCCAUCCAGGAGAUGUUCCGGAGGGUGAGCGAGCAGUUCACUGCCAUGUUCAGGAGGAAGGCUUUCUUGCAUUGGUACACUGGUGAAGGCAUGGACGAGAUGGAGUUCACCGAGGCGGAGAGCAACAUGAACGACCUUGUCUCGGAGUACCAGCAGUACCAGGAUGCCACUGCCGACGAGGAGGGUGAGUACGAGGAUGAGGAUCAGGAGGCCGAGGAGGACAUGUAA